rnacentral:lncRNA from 1 species
GUGGAGCCAUGGGCAUAGGAGGUGGAGUCAUAGGCAUAGGAGGUGGAGUCAUCAUCGGCAUAGGAGGUGGAGUCAUCAUUGGCAUCGGAGAGCCGCCGCUAGGCAUUGGUGGCAUGGACAUUGAGCCAGAAGGAGCCAUCAUGGGGGACUGAGCUAAUGAAAAAGAAAUUAAAACCAUAGACAAUGUCAGCAAAAAGAGGGCUUGUGAAGAGGCCAUGGUUGUGUGUGUUGAAUAGUGUGGUUUACCGUUUACGUAAAGUGAUAUAUAUGUGAGUUGUAAAAGAGUGGGAGAGAAAAGUGAAAGGUUCUU